CCAGAUUUCCCUAUCAGUUUGUAUUAAGGGAGGCCAGGCCUCCCCUAGGAAAUUAGCUUCUCAUAGAAGUCAAUGUAAUGCAUGCUUUUUCAUGCCAAUAUGUGAUUGGCCAGAUCACUGAAAAUGGGUGGGCAACGGAGGCCUGGCCUCACCAUGCAUUGUGUCCAGGGCUGAAAGAUUGACAUUUUGUUCGUCCAAUCACAUGCUACUGGUUCAUUUGGAAUCAAUCCUUUCCUUUCCUAAUCAACACAGAAGCCAUUUUGAGAAUUCGCCAGCCACUCCAGUCAAACAAACACUCGCCAUAGUGGCUACGAGUGUCCUAUCAACUUGUGCUUUUCAGGAAAUUUAGAGAACACCCCUGGCUAUCAUCCGUGAAGUUUAUAGCUCAUAUAGCCAAAUACUUUUGCUUAAAACGACCUCGGAAAUCGGCGAGAUUCUGGCGCAAUUUGAGAUCUUGGGCUGGAGAUAGAUAUGCGUUAACGUUAAACCCUUCACUCUAGGCAUUUCUCCUUGAGUUGACAACAUCUCUGAGACAGAUUUCGAAAGCAAAAGCUGCUGCUGCUAAUCGCUCAUUGACAUUUAUCUCUGUAGUUUGGACAUUUUUACAGUUGAAGUUUAGCUCAUUGUUUUCCAUCCAGUUAGCUGUGUGUGUUCGAGCAAGCCUAGAUUAGCCAGGCAAAAUGGAUGUGAGAGAGGAAAAUGUACAUGGAACAGGUGCUUGUGGUGGUGGCUUGGGUCCGAAUCCAGUGGAAGAGGAGGAUGGAGUUCAACCUAGAUGCAGGCCAUGGGAUGGGAAAGAAAAUCUAGUCGACUAUUUGUUGUCCCAGCCAUUCCAUACUUUAGACCAUGCUUCAAAAGUGAAGAUAAAAUCUGCUGGCCGACCAACUCCAGAAGUCAAGAUGAGUCGUGUGACUCGAGCCGGCGUAGAUGAAGCCAGCUGCAACCCGUAGAGUGGAGUUGUGGAGAGAGCCCCUCGCCCCUCAGCUAAACCAGAGUAAAUGAAGCCAGCACCAACCUGUGGAGUGGAGUCCAGGAGAGAGCAUGCCGCCCCUCAGCUAAACCAGAUUAGAUGAAGCCAGCUGCAACCCGUAGAGUGGAGUUGUGGAGAGAGCCCCUCGCCCCUCAGCUAAACCAGAGUAAAUGAAGCCAGCACCAACCUGUGGAGUGGAGUCCAGGAGAGAGCAUGCCGCCCCUCAGCUAAACCAGAUCAGAUAAAGCCAACUGGAACCAUAUUUUUACAUAUUUUAUAUUAAAUAUAUUGAAUAAAACUACAUAUGAUAAAGAAAGUGUUAUCUUAUCUUUUUUAUAUGCUAAACUUGAUUAAAUUGGUGAUUACAUGUUGAA